rnacentral:lncRNA from 1 species
UCCAAGUUGACGACGCCAGCUUCAGGCAGCGCCACCGUGUCGUCGGGCGAAAUCCCCGAGUUACAGAAGCGGUGGAACGGCGAGCGCCUCUUCUUGUGCACCGGGUUCGAUUUCGCUACUGAAUUUGAUCUGAUCGGAGCCGAUUGAGGUGAUCGAGGAGAAGUCUUUACGGGAGAAAGCUCGGUGGAGAGAUCGAAAUCCACGAGCAUAAUGUGACCAUUUUCUUGGAUCAUGAUGUUCUCCGGCUUCAAAUCUCUGUAAACAACUCCUAAUCCGUGCAAAUAAUCCAAUACCAGAACCAAUUCCGCCGCGUAAAAUCUGAAAAACCAAAAAGAAAAUCAGAAUUUAAUUUUCUGAGCAGCCAAACAGAAUUUAAUACCUUAACUUGAGAGAUUUUGACAUUUAAUUUACCUGAUGACCUCAUCGGAGAACAUCCGCUCGGUUUGUCGUUUCCUGAGGCAAUUGAGAUCGCGCCCGGGGCAGUAUUCAAUGGCGUAGCCGACGAACUUCUCAGUGUCGAGAACGCCAUGCAAUUUAGGCAAGAGCGGGUGCUCGAAACGACGUAUUACUUGCUGCUCGAAGCUAACUCUGCGGUACUCGCUGCCGUCGCUCUUCGGAUCUUUACUCCUCCGCUCGAUUAAGUCCUUGGAAAUCACCUUCAAGGCCAUUAGCCCCUCCGCCGCCGUCUCUUCUCCCUUCACCAGAAACACCACGCCCUUGGCUCCUCUGCCCAGCGCCGAGAUCACACUCAGCCGCCGGAAAUCCAAGC